UACGAAGGGGGCUAGCGUUGCUCGGAAUCACUGGGCGUAAAGGGUGCGUAGGCGGGUCUUUAAGUCAGGGGUGAAAUCCUGGAGCUCAACUCCAGAACUGCCUUUGAUACUGAAGAUCUUGAGUUCGGGAGAGGUGAGUGGAACUGCGAGUGUAGAGGUGAAAUUCGUAGAUAUUAGGAAGAACACCAGUGGCGAAGGCGGCUCACUGGCCCGGUACUGACGCUGAGGCGCGAAAGCGUGGGGAGCGAGCAGG
rnacentral:rRNA from 1 species